CGACUCAAAACCUUGCAUUUAGACACGAUUUCAGUUUCAAUCACUCAGCCAUAAUCAUCACAAUUGAGUCGGAAUCAAAUUCCAACUCAAGACUCGCAUAUAAAGAUUAACACUACUCUAAUAGUGCUAGUCAACCUGGCAUCUCCAGACCAAAAGUGUUAUGGGUCUAAGAAUGCACAUGGGCAUUACAAACAAGAUUCACAAAAAGACACCCUUUCCAUUCAAC
rnacentral:misc_RNA from 1 species